GACCCACAACCCACAUUUUCAGUAAUGUCAAUGUCACAUUUUGAUGUGCUGUGCUGUUUGUAAAGCAAAUUUCACGUCGUUUUGUUAUCCAUAAUAAUUAAUUUCCAUACUUUUGACAUCCACAAGUCACAACAGUAAAAAUUAUUAUUUUGUCUAAAUCUUGACCCGAAGAUUAGCGGCGUGUAAUUUGGGUUGCCUUCUUGCUUAUAUAAACUUGAAUCAAUGAAAUGGGCAUUUUCUUUUGAGUUAUUUAAAACGCUGAAAAGACCAUUUAGUGAUAAUAAAAACCGAUAUUUACUGCGGUAGCAUAAUAUUUAAUAUUAAAAUAGUAUUAGAUGUGGUAGAAUGUAGACUCUUUGUAUAAUUACCAAUUGAACAGUGAAGCUGUUAGAUCAAUUUUCCGAUUCAAUCAUUUCUACUGUUCACAGUUCUGUGUUUGUGUUUGCUUUUGAGUAGGUAUUUCAUUUUCUUGACAACAAAAAUGUUCGGUGUGGAAAGAAUUAAUAAGUGCGUGCAAUGCGGAAAAGUGUAUAAAUGUAAACAUGAUUUAAAAAGACAUGUAAAAAGUUCGCAUCCCGACAAAUUGGAUGCAAUUGCCCCUUUAAAAGUGCUUAGAGGCAAUGUCUAUAAGUGCACACAUUGUGAUAAACAAUUUAGAUAUAAGUCAAGUUUAAACUUUCAUGUCAAAAAAGUGCACACAAAUGUAUUAGUUUCUGCAGAAACUAAAACAUUUCAACAUAAAUGUUCUCUGUGUAAUUGUAAUUAUCAUGCAACUUAUGAAACUUCUCAAUUCCUAUGCAAUACGAUACAAUAGAGUUUUCCAACCAUGAUGACUUUAUUUCUUGGAAGAAUAAAAUAGAGCUUAAAACAAAUGCUAGUUUUAUUGCGGAAAAAAGGCUGGGAUAAACCGUAAUCGUACCCCUUCCUAACUGCCAAAGUGUCAUGGCCGCCGUCGGGACCUAUUGUGCUGACAUUUACAAUGUUUACAUAUAGAAAAGUUUGUUUUUUUCUGCUUAUAAUGCCGUUUUCUAAAGAUAUUAGUGAACAAAAUCGAUUUGCUAACAAUAUUUAAUAUAUUUUAAAUGUGCUAAAAUUGGAUUCAACAGCAAAAGUCGCAUAAAUAACAUAUAAAUGACGAAUUUGUUUACCUAUUACAAAUGGGGUUAUGUGGUUGUAACUGUUUAUUUUGGGAAUAAAAUGAAAAUGAUCAAUUAAACGACUGGAAAACUAUAGUGAAGUGAAGAACAUCUUGAAGUUCCAAUGAUGUUUCAAGAUGAGAUAAAUCGAAAUAAUGGUUGUAUGUUAGAAGGACAGAGAAUACGAAGAAAUGUUAUUGCUGCAUACUUAGUGUAGUGAAAUACAAACUUCAAACAUUAUAA